UACGUAGGGGGCAAGCGUUGUCCGGAUUUACUGGGUGUAAAGGGUGCGUAGACGGCUUUGCAAGCCAGAUGUGAAAGCCCGGGGCUCAACCCCGGGACUGCAUUUGGAACUGUGUGGCUAGAGUGUCGGAGAGGCAGGCGGAAUUCCUAGUGUAGCGGUGAAAUGCGUAGAUAUUAGGAGGAACACCAGUGGCGAAGGCGGCCUGCUGGACGAUGACUGACGUUGAGGCUCGAAAGCGUGGGGAGCAAACAGG
rnacentral:rRNA from 1 species